rnacentral:rRNA from 1 species
GAUCCUGGCUCAGGAUGAACGCUAGCGGCAGGCUUAACACAUGCAAGUCGAGAGGCAGCAUGGUCUUAGCUUGCUAAGGCUGAUGGCGACCGGCGCACGGGUGAGUAACACGUAUCCAACCUGCCGUCUACUCUUGGCCAGCCUUCUGAAAGGAAGAUUAAUCCAGGAUGGGAUCAUGAGUUCACAUGUCCGCAUGAUUAAAGGUAUUUUCCGGUAGACGAUGGGGA